rnacentral:lncRNA from 1 species
GCCCUGCGGUCCGGUCCCGCGCCGUCCGCUCGCGUCGCCCGCGCAGAACCAGCGGCGGGCGAGGGGCGAGCGGGCUUAGGCGAGCCCGAGGAGGCGCAGGCCUGGCCCGGGCCCCGCAGGACUGCGUGUCUGUUCCCAGCACUCUGCAAGACUAGAAAAGGAGAAGGAACCUGUCCAGAAUCCCUGCAGGACAAGAAAAGGAGGGAAAAUCUCAACAUGGAAAAACUCUGCAAGGAAAAUGAAGGAAAGCCGGAAAGUGAGGGAAAGCCAGAGGAUGAAGUAGAGCCUGACAAUGAAGGAAAGUCGGAUGAGGAAGAAACACCAGAAGUGGAGGGGAAGUCAGCACAUGAGGGAAAGCUCCAGAACGAGGGACAACCAGAAGAUGAGGGAAAACCAGAAGACGAAGGGAAGCAAGAGAAGCAGGGCAAGUCGGAAGAUGAGGGAAAACCAC